rfam:Schistosoma mansoni strain Puerto Rico chromosome 2, complete genome
AUCCAGCUGACGAGUACUAAAUAGGACGAAACGCGCGUCAAGCUGGAU